GCGCGGGUGGUGAAAUGGCAGACACGCUACUUUGAGGGGGUAGUGGGGGAGACCCUGUGAGAGUUCAAAUCUCUCCCCGCGCACUA
rnacentral:tRNA from 1 species